GUGGGGAAUCUUGCGCAAUGGGCGAAAGCCUGACGCAGCCAUGCCGCGUGAAUGAUGAAGGUCUUAGGAUUGUAAAAUUCUUUCACCGGGGACGAUAAUGACGGUACCCGGAGAAGAAGCCCCGGCUAACUUCGUGCCAGCAGCCGCGGUAAUACGAAGGGGGCUAGCGUUGCUCGGAAUUACUGGGCGUAAAGGGCGCGUAGGCGGAUCGUUAAGUCAGGGGUGAAAUCCCAGAGCUCAACUCUGGAACUGCCCUUGAUACUGGCGAUCUUGAGUGUGAGAGAGGUAUGUGGAACUCCGAGUGUAGAGGUGAAAUUCGUAGAUAUUCGGAAGAACACCAGUGGCGAAGGCGACAUACUGGCUCAUUACUGACGCUGAGGCGCGAAAGCAUGGGGAGCAAACAGGAUUAGAAACCCUAGUAGUCC
rnacentral:rRNA from 1 species